AAAUCCUUUAAAUGUAAAAUUAAAAGCACGUUUUGAUUCUUCAAUCAAAGAGCGGGAAAAAUGGGCCAAAGAGCCACUUAUGGCUCCGGAGCCGCAGGUUGCAGAUUUAUGAGGAGAAGGUGUGAAACGGGAUUACUGGAUAUUCAGACUAGCGUGAGUUAAUCCUCUGGGUUAGAAUGACAUCGGGUUAGCUGCAGAGCAGACACGUUUGUUCUCCAGACUGGUGCUGCUUGUUGGGUCAGGUUCCUGCGACUCCAGAACCGUCUGCAGGUCUGUAAACAGUCUGUUUCUUCUACACCUGAGCUGCUUCUGCGUUUCUGAUGCCCCCCAGCUGCAGACUAGACCAGACUCCUCUGGAUCUACAGAUGGAGCGUUUUUACGGUGGCAGACGUCACAUGAAGAACCACAAGAAGCCAACAAAGCACAGCAGGAACCGGUUUCAGGGAGUGACCGAGCUGAUCAAGAGGAGCAAAGUGAAGCAGAUUGGAUUUCAGGGUUAGGAGAGAGGAGCCUUCAUGGAGGGAGACCUGAAACCAGCAGUGUACCAGCCGAGCUGAUCCUUCUGCUGAAGGAUCUAAAAUCCACUCCAGAACUUGGAGACUGCUGCUCCAUGUCCUGAAAGGAGACAAGAUGAACAGGCUUUUCAGCUCAAAGGACGCCAACAUGACGGCCCCCCCAGCCAACCCCGUCCUCUGCUGCGAAGGUUUGGGAGCAGCCAUGUCUCCAUGUUCAUUUAUGGUCUGCACGCUCCUCCAGACCCGGAUCACGGCUGAACCGGUCCGAUCCUUCCAGGCCUUAAAAGGAGCUGAAUCCGCCUGAGACCUGCUGCUUCUCCUCUGCAUCCUCUCACUCAGACUCACGCUGCUGAGGCUGACCCGCCCCUCAGCUUCACACGUCCCGUAGUGGGAGGUGUGGGCGGGGCCAAAGCUGCAGGUCCUGGUGGACGUUCUGUCCUGUUUGUUGUUCAUUAAACUUCAGGUUCACUGAUUGUUCCUCUGCAGUGUGUGGGAGCGGCUGAUCUGUGUGCCUUCCACUGGGUCAAAGGUCGGGGGAAAGGUGCAGGUGGGAGGAGCAAGCGACAGGUUCAACCCGCCUGCUGUUGCUUCUCAAACACAAAAAGACAGAACCCGAUUGUAAACGGCAGUCUUUGGAUCUCGGCGGCUCCUCCAGCAGCUUCCUCUGAUGACCCACUUUAGUGUUUCUAAUUUGAAGCUGCACUUGAUCUGAAGGAAUCCUGUUCUGGAGGAUCUCCAUCCAUCUCCACUUCAGUGAAGACUCUUCUUCCUGAGACUCAUUUUGUAUGAAUUUAUACGGUUUAACAUUUAACACAAAGUUCAUUCAUUUAAAGUGACAAUUUUUUUAUUACAAUAAAAUGUUCCCCGUAG